AGUGAACGCUGGCGGUAGGCCUAACACAUGCAAGUCGAACGGCAGCACAGGAGAGCUUGCUCUCUGGGUGGCGAGUGGCGGACGGGUGAGGAAUACAUCGGAAUCUACUUUUUCGUGGGGGAUAACGUAGGGAAACUUACGCUAAUACCGCAUACGACCUUCGGGUGAAAGCAGGGGAUCUUCGGACCUUGCGCGAUUGAAUGAGCCGAUGUCGGAUUAGCUAGUUGGCGGGGUAAAGGCCCACCAAGGCGACGAUCCGUAGCUGGUCUGGGAGGCUGAUCAGCCGCACUGGAACUGAGACACGGUCCAGACUCCUGCGGGAGGCAGCAGUGGGGAAUAUUGGACAAUGGGCGCAAGCCUGAUCCGGCCAUCCCGCGUGGGUGAAGAAGGCCUUCGGGUUGUAAAGCCCUUUUGUUGGGAAAGAAAUCCAGCUGGUUAAUACCCGGUUGGGAUGACGGUACCCAAAGAAUAAGCACCGGCUAACUUCGUGCCAGCCGCCGCCGUAA
rnacentral:rRNA from 1 species